GCCAGACUCCUACGGGAGGCAGCAGUGAGGAAUAUUGGUCAAUGGACGCAAGUCUGAACCAGCCAAGUAGCGUGCAGGAUGACGGCCCUCCGGGUUGUAAACUGCUUUUAGUUGGGAAUAAAAGGGGGCUCGUGAGCCCCGUAUUGUAUGUACCAUCAGAAAAAGGACCGGCUAAUUCCGUGCCAGCAGCCGCGGUAAUACGGAAGGUCCGGGCGUUAUCCGGAUUUAUUGGGUUUAAAGGGAGCGUAGGCCGGCUUUUAAGUCAGCUGUGAAAGUCCGCGGCUCAACCGUGGAAUUGCAGUUGAAACUGGCAGUCUUGAGUACAGUAGAGGUGGGCGGAAUUCGUGGUGUAGCGGUGAAAUGCUUAGAUAUCACGAAGAACUCCGAUUGCGAAGGCAGCUCACUGGACUGCAACUGACACUGAGGCUCGAAAGUGUGGGUAUCAAACAGGAUUAGAUACCCCAGUAAC
rnacentral:rRNA from 1 species